AUACGUAGGGUGCGAGCGUUGUCCGGAAUUACUGGGCGUAAAGGGCUCGUAGGUGGUUUGUCGCGUCGUCUGUGAAAUUCCGGGGCUUAACUCCGGGCGUGCAGGCGAUACGGGCAUAACUUGAGUACUGUAGGGGAGACUGGAAUUCCUGGUGUAGCGGUGAAAUGCGCAGAUAUCAGGAGGAACACCGGUGGCGAAGGCGGGUCUCUGGGCAGUAACUGACGCUGAGGAGCGAAAGCAUGGGUAGCGAACAGGAUUAGAUACCCUGGUAGUCCAUGCCGUAAACGGUGGGCGCUAGGUGUAGGGGUCUUCCACGACUUCUGUGCCGUAGCUAACGCAUUAAGCGCCCCGCCUGGGGAGUACGGCCGCAAGGCUAAAACUCAAAUGAAUUGACGGGG
rnacentral:rRNA from 1 species